CACACAGGCUCAGCACAGCACAGCCUCUGCCACUCACCCCAAUCCACCGGAUCCCCACCCCCACCUCGCUACCCCGCCCGAUGAAGGCGUCGAUCAAGUUCCGCGACGACGAGCGGCCGCUGGUGCGCGCCAAGGUGCCGAUCGUCGUGCUGGGGCUGCCGUUCCAGUCGGGGCUCGCGGCGGGAAGGGACCUGCGGGAGCUCCGCUUCGACGUGUCCACGGCGUUCGCAUCGGGCCCGGCGCUCCGGCUCUCGUACCGCCCCAACGACCCGGCGCUCCCCUUCGCGCUCGCCGUGCGCGCGGGGCUCGGCCCGCUGGGGUCCCCGGCACGCGCGCCUUUCGCGCUCGCCGCCGAGUUCAACCUCGUCGCCCACGACCCCUCCUCGUCGCCCGCCUUCUUCCUCCGCCUCAAGCCGCGGCUCGGCGACUUCUCGCUCUCUCACACGCUGCGCUCCCCCGCGGCGGCGCCAGCGCCACGGAAGGCCGGGGAGCCGGGCUCCGACGGCCGGCGGGAGGUGAAGCCUCUGGACUACAUGCCGCCGUUCACGUUCACCGGGAGCGGGCUCGCUGCCGACGUGGCGGCGGCGGGGACCGGCAGCGGGGUCGGCGCGCUGCUGUCCGGCAUGCGGCUGACGACCAGGAGCGUGCUCCCGCUGUGGGGCCGGGCGAGCCUGCGGUUCAACUGGGGCCUGCGCGUGCCGCCGGAGCUGCUCGCCGCCGACGGCAAGGGCGCGCGCGCGCCCGUCAGCAAGAUGCCGCUGCUGGUCAUGAGCAAGGUCUGCAUCGAGCAGUCCCCGCGCUCCGUCACGGGCACCAAGGCCGGCGGCCGAGCACCUGGACCCGCCCUGGCCUCCACGGACGCGGCGUCGGACGGCGACGCGGCGUUCUCGCUGGUGAGGCGGCAGCUGGAGUCGCUGAGCGUGGACAACAUGCUGCUCCGGCGCGCCGUGGAGGACCUCCGCGCGGAGGUCCGCAGCAGCAACAGCAGGGCCGCGCCGCCCGCUGCUUCUGCUGCGGGGGCCCGUGGCUUGGGCAGGGUGGCGGCGACCGCGCCACAAAUGCAGGCGCAGACGCAGACGCAGCCUUACCACGUGACGAAGCCGGACCACCGCGCCCGGGGCGCCGCGAGGGAGGCUGCGGCCACGCCGGACGACGUCAGCGAGGAGCUGAAGAAGGCGUUGGAGGCCCGCCUGCGCUGAGCAGUCAGCCUUGGCUGCCAGGCUGCGUCGCGUGCGAGCCCGGCAGCUCACCGGCACCGCUCGAGUGAAGGUGAAGUGCUAGUGUCGCUGUUAGGCGUUGUAAUCUGUUGGUGUCAGCAGCAAUUUGGAGCUGCUGAUUUCUCCCUGUUGCUUGCUUAGGUCGUAAGUGUUGUGAAUGAUCGCUGGGAAGAAGGGGAUCGGACUUGUCUUGCCAUUCCAUUCUGUGCUGGAUGAGGGACUUGAUCAACUAAGAAGCGCAAAAUAACCAACUUUAUUAAAGCUAAUCUGAAACCAGUCCAAAC
rnacentral:misc_RNA from 1 species